rnacentral:rRNA from 1 species
AUGGCUGCCCCACAAGACCUCCGCAAGGGUUUUGCUUUGCUAACCAUCAUCACCGCAUGGGCCAUUUGGAAGCGCAGGAACACAAUCGUCUUUGAUGGCAUACAACCCUCCCACGCUCAACUCCUAUCCAACAUCAAGGAUGAAGCCCGACGAUGGGGACGCGCAGGCGCCAAGAUACUAGCUAUGAUCCUCCUUGUAACUUGA